ACGUAGGUCACAAGCGUUGUCCGGAAUUACUGGGUGUAAAGGGAGCGCAGGCGGGAAGACAAGUUGGAAGUGAAAUCUAUGGGCUCAACCUAUAAACUGCUUUCAAAACUGUUUUUCUUGAGUAGUGCAGAGGUAGGCGGAAUUCCCGGUGUAGCGGUGGAAUGCGUAGAUAUCGGGAGGAACACCAGUGGCGAAGGCGGCCUACUGGGCACCAACUGACGCUGAGGCUCGAAAGUGUGGGUAGCAAACAG
rnacentral:rRNA from 1 species